GCAUAUUAUAAUAUACCAUUUAUAAAGAAUCAUACUUACAAUGUUAUUUUACUUAUUUAUAUCUCUUCUCUCAGGGUCUGCAUCCCUUCUUUCUUUACUCUCACCUUUCAUUCUCUUAAUCUCUACAUCCCUUCUUUCCUCAAUCUUUGAAACGGAUUAUAGGUUCGAUCAGCAGCUAGGACUUUACUAUUUACAGGUUUGGGGAUGAUGCACAAAGAUGGUGGGAAUAGCAUCUGCUUGACCUUUUUGGGCCUGACAAACUGGUCUGCCUUAAAAUGUGCCUGUGAAGUGACUUGAGCUUAUUUUCCACACAACAAUUCAGGUUUAUCUAUCCACAUUAAUACAUCAUAGUGGCUGAAUGCACCUUAUUGGUGAACACUCAAUACUGGACAUGUUUACACUAAAUUACAUAAUUACUUUGUACAAAUUCAUAUCAUAUCAUCAUCAAAGUUCCUGUGUGUGGGAACCGUUAUUACCGUUACUGCUAGUUGUUAAUGAAGUUCUAAAACUUAACAAUCCAUAGCUUCCACAUUCAAACCUGUGUAGCCUUUUCUAAGAAAGGUUGAAUUGAGGGCAACUGGACUUCUUCUGAAAUGUCAUCUAAAACCAGUCCAGUUGCUCUCGAUUCAACUUUUCUAGGAUAAACAUGACCUGAAAAUCUUUUCAGAUGUGUAGGUUUGUCUAACCCUUUCUUUCUCUUGUUCUCCCUCCCUCAGCACAAGAAUCAUAGGGAGUUCAGUGGAGCCUGAAGAUUAUCUGCAGUAAUGUGUUUAAUAAACCAAAGCCAGUGUUGUGUUCUUUCUUUGUGGAAAAAGUACCUCACAUAUUUUUUUGUUGUUAGCCUCUUUACUGAUUGUAAGGUUGCUCCGGUUGACCUGAGUCAACCAUUUUUCCUCCUCUCCAUAUCAGCUGGGAAACCAUACAUUCGUACUCCUUUUUCUGACCAACUGCAGCAUCCCCACGCAACACAAUAAACCGUGCUGUAGACUAUUGUAAGGCAGUACACAGACACAAACCACUUAACAUGCUGUUUUCUUAGUUUAUUGGACAUUUAUUAAAUGAAUAGCCUACGUGACAGUCA